rnacentral:misc_RNA from 1 species
GAUGAAGAACGCAGCGAAAUGCGAUAAGUAAUGUGAAUUGCAGAAUUCAGUGAAUCAUCGAAUCUUUGAACGCACCUUGCGCCCUUUGGCCAUUCCGAAGGGCAUGCCUGUUUGAGUAUCAUGAACACCUCAACUCUUUAUGGUUUUCCAUGAUGAGCUUGGACUCUGGGGGUUUUGCUGGCUCACAGUCGGCUCCUCUAAAAUGAAUCAGCUUACCAGUGUUUGGUGGGUAUCAUGGGUGUGAUAACUAUCUACGCUUGUGGUUUUUCCACCAGGUAACCUUCAGCAGUGGAGGUUCGCUGGAACUCAUAGAUGUCUCUCCUCAGUGAGGACAGCCCUUUGAAUGUUUGAUCUCAAAUCAGGUAGGACUACCCGCUGAACUUAAGCAUAUCAAUAAGCGGAGGA